AACGAACGCUGGCGGCGUGCCUAGCACAUGCAAGUCGAGCGAGAAAGUCCCUUCGGGGGCGAGUAAAGCGGCGGACGGGUGAGUAAUACAUGGAUAAUCUUCCCUCGAGCCUGGGAUAACCCUGCGAAAGUGGGGCUAAUACCGGAUAAGACCACAUGACACAUGUCACGGGGUAGAAGGUGGCUUGUAUUUAUAUGAGCUAUCACUUGAGGAUGAGUCCAUGGCCUAUCAGCUAGUUGGUGAGGUAAGAGCUUACCAAGGCUAUGACGGGUAGCUGGUCUGAGAGGACGACUAGCCACACUGGGACUGAGACACGGCCCAGACUCCUACGGGAGGCAGCAGUGGGGAAUAUUGGGCAAUGGGCGAAAGCCUGACCCAGCGACGCCGCGUGGGUGAUGAAGGCCUUCGGGUUGUAAACCUUCGUGCGGAAGAAUAGUCCUGUAGCGAAUAACUACGGGAUUGACGGUACCGCAGGAGAAGCACCGGCUAACUCCGUCG
rnacentral:rRNA from 1 species